AGGGUGUAAACGCUGCAGACUUGGUGUUGGGGGCCCGUUUCGGGGGUCGAUUCAGUGCCGGAGAGAAGUUGUUAAGUCUGCUACUUGGGGAGUACGUCCGCAAGGAUGAAACUUAAAGGAAUUGGCGGGGGAGCACCGCAACGGGAGGAGCGUGCGGUUUAAUUGGAUUCAACACCGUAAACUCACCAGGGAAGACUGUUACAUGAAGGCCGAGAUGAAGACUCUGCUAGAUUUUUCAGAGAGGUGGUGCAUGGCGUCAGUGACU
rnacentral:rRNA from 1 species